UAAGAGCACAUAAACAUAGGAACUUCGUGAAGUCUGAGGACAAAACAAAAAACAUCAUCACUAACAGACCAUAAAAUUCACAAAAAGCCAGUCAAAAUAUCCAAGAAUUUAUGGUUGAAGAUU
rfam:Pongo abelii chromosome 5 P_pygmaeus2.0.2_Contig405.73, whole genome shotgun sequence.